GGUGCUGCAUGGCUGUCGUCAGCUCGUGUCCGUGAGAUGUUGGGUUAAGUCCCGUAACGAGCGCAACCCUUGUCCUUAGUUACCAGCACGUUAUGGUGGGCACUCUAAGGAGACUGCCGGUGACAAACCGGAGGAAGGUGGGGAUGACGUCAAGUCAUCAUGGCCCUUACGGCCUGGGCUACACACGUGCUACAAUGGUCGGUACAAAGGGUUGCCAAGCCGCGAGGUGGAGCUAAUCCCAUAAAACCGAUCGUAGUCCGGAUCGCAGUCUGCAACUCGACUGCGUGAAGUCGGAAUCGCUAGUAAUCGUGAAUCAGAAUGUCACGGUGAAUACGUUCCCGGGCCUU
rnacentral:rRNA from 1 species